AUAUAUAUAUAUAUAUAUAAUAUGUGUGUGUUGCUUCCUCUCUUUUUUCUUUUACUUGUUUCAGUUAUUUGACUGCGGCGAUACUGGAGCACAGCCUCAAAGGGCUUUUAUCCGAAGAAAUCGAUCCCAGGACUUAUUCUUUGUAAGCCUAGUA